UCCGAUCAGUGAUGGAAGGAGUGACACGUGGUCUAGCUAGGAUGAUGCCAUGUGGACAGGCACGUGAAGGUACACGUGGAAAGACGCAAGGGAGAAAGCCCCCGCAGUCAUAAAGCGUGUUUACUUUGUCAGAAUGCAUUCCUACAGAAUUUCUUCCCCCUGAUUGGUCUGAUAUAAAAUAACAUUUACAGGCUGGUCUCCCGCCGCUAAGAACACCCAAUUUCCUCAAACUAAUCUCCAGAUCCAUGCUAAAACAACAUCCAGCAGAAGCCUUUUGUUGUUUUCCAGAGUUUUAUCCCUAAUCAUCUGGAAAUAAUGCCCAUGUCUUCCUCAGCAUCCGGCUGUGGCCUAUAACUUUUACAUAGCGAGAGAACAUAGCUGCCUACAUCAAUGGAGGCUUGGCCAUUAUUGGUGGAGAUAAAGAGAAAGACCAUCCAUCACGAUGAUGAAAUUGUAAGUGCAUAUUUUUUACUAUAGUUUAUGGGCCGAAAAUACUUUUGGAAAGUAGUUUUUGUGAGCCCUUUUUCCAGUAAUUGCUUAAUCUGGUACAGCAUAUAGGAGGAAAGGCCAGACGGUUCUUGGUCUUUAAACUCUCCCCAUUUUGAUGCUUUCUUAUUUGUUGGAAGUGACUUUCUCUGUCUUUUCUGCUUUGUGAUUUGACUCCAACGUAUUGGAAAAUUGCUGCUUUGCAGGAUGCCUUUUGUCUGUGAUUUAUACCCUUGUUACUUUUUUCAUUUCGAUUUUGCUUUGGCCAGAAGUUAUUGGUUUAGUUUCCUUAUUUACAAUUCAUUAGGUUCCCACAAUAAACUUUUGCUUUGUCAUUUUCAUAGUACCAUAUUUGGAAUCAACAACCCACUUAGCUUUUAUUAAGUGAAAAAAUAGUCUCAUAAGGUAUGGAAGGUGGAAAACUGCUAAGAAUAUUUUGAAAUGUGAAUGCUGGGGCAACAGUUACUGUAACUUCCAAUCCUGCUUUUUAUCUUUUGGAAUGCUUCUUAUCAACACCAUGCUGCCAAACUGUAAACAGCUUUACCAGACUAAGAAAAUGGCUGGGAGAAAACACAUAUUGGGGAUCCAUGCAUCUAACUCUACUUUGUAAUUGCUCUCUACAUUUCAUACUCAGGAUUUCUGGACCCUUGUAUUUUAAGUUCUCUCUAGAUGAAUUGAUCAUUUUCUAGAUGUCAUGAGAUGAGUUCGUAUGAUUGGUUGCAAGUAGAGAACACCCUACUUUCAUGGCAUGUCCAAAGAUACCCUUAAUUGUUCUAUAACCAUCUCUGAAUCAUUGAUCUGUAACAGUUGAAACAUCUCUGCCAAGAUGCCCAAAGAAUCUGCACUAUGCCUAUAAAAGAAACAGCUAGACUAGAGGCACAAAGAACAUGUUUUUCAUUAAGAGACAAUUUACAUUAUUCCUCACAACACAGUUUAACAUUACUAUAUGCCAAAGCACUGCUACUAUUUUUGACAAACAACAUAGACAUAAAGUCAAAGUAUUCAUCACUUAAAACACAUUUUCCUCUUAUAAAGCAUGAAAACUCCACCACACAAUACAAAACCUACGACAGAUUUGUUUACUUAAACCGCUGGAAUUGAUGUCGGAAUGCUGUUCACUAUUAGCCUCUAUUAGCCCACCACGGCAUGUAAUCAACUGUGUCAACUUCUUCAGAACCCUCCUCUGGAGGAAAAUCCUGGGAGGUCCUAGCCAUAGUAUCUCACAAAGAAAAGAACAGAAGUGAAAUAUGUGAAGAGGAGGAUGAUUAGAUCUGAGAAUUGUACAGGACAAAGUCUAACAAGGUCAUUUAUUAUAUUUGGGGGCCAAACAGAAUGGGAAAAAAAAAAUAGAAAAUAUUAAUUUCGUUUGCACUUCUUAUUGCAUUCCUCGAAACUUUCUUUUGAUCAGUUCAUCUCCAGAUUCCAAGCCACUCAGUAAUAUUGUGGUGAUCCAACAAACGAUGGCAUCCAACAGUAAGUUUUUUGAUGGCAUUUCCUUUUGGCUAGUGCCAAUAGAGGAGAAAUUACUAUGAAGCUUGUUAGAAAAUGCAAGAGAAGCUCCGGUGCUCCUCCCUGGAACCCUCCUGUAAACUUGCCUUAUCGACAGUACUUUCUCAUAUAUUCUUAACCCUAGUUUAAUGAAUCUGUCUAGUCUGUAAGUUCACACUGUUGACCUAACUUUUAACUCCAUAACUAAUUUUCUGUAUUAACAUCACUCAUUAUAACAUAACUCAUUAAACAAUAACCAAUAAAGAUGAUGUCUGUCAGAAUCCAGAAAAUUUUGUAGAUGAUUUGAAUUAUCUUGUAUAGCAUAUUUAUGCUUAAUAGUAUACAUACAUACUAUAUAUAUAUAUAUAUUCAUUAUCUUUUGAAUAAUUAUUGUAGUCUAUGCUAGCAAAUAAUAAACUUUACCAAGAAUCUUAAACUAUUCAGCAUCCUUAUCUUUUGUACGAACCAUCCAUCCACCACCCAAAAGCUUAAUUUUUCUUGUUGCAGAUGUCGGUUUCAAAUUGAGGCUUUGUAUCCAUUUGAUUAACAGAUCUGGCUAUAAUUGAUCUCUCCAAAUCCAUCUAUACGAUUUUCUGGCUUUUAAUGGCCAUUUUAUCUUUAUUAGUUAUGGUUUAAGAGUUUUUUUUUUUAAUCACUGAAAAGGUUAUAAUAGACUAUGUUAAGACAGAAAAUUAGUUGUUUAUUAUGGAAAUAUUUUCUGCAUUGUGGAGUUACAAGUUAGGUCAACAAUGUGAAAACUUGGAGUGAAAAGUAUAUGAGUACUGGUGGUGAGGUCAGCUUGACACCCAGCUUACAGAAGGAUAGAGGGAGGAGCUUCUGAACUUUUCCUACAUUUUCUAAUAAGUUUCAUAGUAAUUUUUCCACAAUCGGCACAAUCCAAAAGGAAAUGGCAUCAGAAAACCUAGUGUUGGAUACAAUUGCAUGUUGGAUCACCACAAUAUUACUGAAUGACUUGGAAUCAGGGAUGAAUUGAAAAAGUUAUGAGGAUGUGAGAUAUAAAGUGCAGAUGAGAUUAGUUUUUUCUGAAUUUUUUUCCAUUUUGUUUGGGCUCCAAGCCUAUUUCUCUUAUAAAUGGCAAUCAUGAGACAUACCCAUGUACAUGUUCUCAAAUCGAAUCAUACUGCUCUUCAUAUAUUUCAUUUUUCUAUUCAUUUCUUUGUCAGAUAUCAUGGCUAGGGCCUCCCAGGAUUUUCCUUUUCCCCCUAAAGGAGGUGUGCUCUGAAGGGUUUUGAAGAAGCUGGUGCAGUUGGUUACUUGCAGUGGUGAUCUCCUCUAAUAGGGGCUAAUAGUGAAUAGCAUUCCAGAUGUUCCAGCAGACCAGACACAGAAAGACCAUACAUGUUUAGGUAGACAAGUUUGUUUUAGGUUUUAAUUGUGUUGUGUGGGGUUCUCAUGCUUUACAGAAGGAGAACGUGUUUUGAGUGUUGGCCUCUGGGUCUUUUAUUGUCUAUGCCUUUUGUCAUAAAAUAGUAGCAGUGUCUUGACAUUGAGUAAUGUAAACUGUGUGUUGUGGGAAACAUGUAAAUAUAUACUCUCUUUACAAAAAGUAUGCUCUUUCUGUCUCUGGUACGUCUGUUUCUUUUAUAUCCGU
rnacentral:lncRNA from 1 species